rnacentral:lncRNA from 1 species
GCUCUCCAUACAGUCAUACUCGUUUGACCAUAAACAGUUUUUGUCCAGCUACCGUAAAAUUUUACGAAUGUUUGACAAAGUUAUUGAUACUUUCAAACUUUAACCGCGUAAUGAACCUACAUGUACAUAGUUAUAUUAUUGGCACCGUCAACGAAAGUUUGGACCGAAAUGUCUCUUUCAUUUUUAUUUUAUAGAUGAAAAUAUUUUUUUUUUACCAAAUUCAAGUGUACGCCCGGGGGUUUUGACGUAAACGUAGCUACGCGCAUGGUUUAUUUCUUUUCAUAACCAUAGUAAAUAGGUCGUUAUAUACUGGUAACGAUAAAUUUUGAUAAUUUCAUAUUUUUUACAUGUCGACUGUCGUUCUACAUGUUCUAGAAAAACCAACUUUUUUUCGAUUGAAGUCUUUUUAUAUUCACUUACUUUUCUGUGUUCUUUGGUUAUAUCUUAGAGUAUAUUUUAACAAAAUCGUCUGUUUUUCCAUUUCUUUCACAAUUACAGGAAACAGACUUUUGACAGGGGGCGCGAAAUCUGGUGCGCAUAUAUUGUACAACUCGUUUCAGGACUUAUUUCUCCGGAAAAUCUCAUGAUAAAUAUAUCCGACAAGGUUGCAGUCGCAGUGGCGGUUCCAGGCUGACGAAGAGGUCGUACACUCCCCCCUUUGAACAAAAAAAAAGUUUUCAUGUUACUCACGAUUUAUAUGUUUUUUACAAUAAAGUUGUCCAAAAAAAAAAUCGGCUCGCUCCGCUCGACGGUAUAUAAAUUCCGUUUUUGGAAAUACCCCCCCCCCUCAGUUUCAAAAAUCCUGGACCCACCCCUGAGUCUAGUAUACUAACUGAUUCAUAGUAUUAAAUAUUGAACAGCUGAUCUUUAAAAAAAAAAGCCCAAAUAAAAUGCACGAUGAUAGGAGGGUUGAGAAGUUGGAUGAGCCGGUCCUUCAUUUCUAUAUUCUUUAAUUUUUCUUACGUUUUGCCCAUGUUUUGCUAUUCUUUAUAUUUUAGCACCUCAUUAUUCUAUAUUCUUUUUUUUUUGUCCAUUUUUCUCUAUUCUUUAUAUUUUGUCCAUUAUUCUCUAUUCUGUUAACCCCACCCACGUGACUCUCCUAUAGAUGGGCGUGGUUUUUUGGUUCUUCGGUAGUGAGCCAGAAGAGGUUAAUUUCUGUUUGUAUUUCUUUGCAUUGGGAAUAUCUUCUGUCUCUCCUCUCCCUCUUCCUUUUAGAUAUAUAGUUAAGACGACAGAGGCACAUAACAAGUGUAAAUGGCAUUAAUAAAUUUAUGAAUGUAGAUAUAAUAGAAUGUGAGCUGAGUGAUAAAUGUUUUCAUGGUAAGGCAGCCUAGGUAGAACAUCCAUGUAGGGACGAUAAGCUGUAUGAAUAUUAUAAAAAAAACUACACGGACAAUAACAGUAAGAAGAUGACUAUUUGAUAUUCUGAGGAGGGGAGGGGCAGAAUGAUUUUUUACUGAUUUAUUAUUCCGAUUUCAAUUGAUCUGUCGCUAAGCUUGCUAUUUU